rnacentral:sRNA from 1 species
CCUUAUCUAAACUGUAUUUGAAGAGACAGUCAAUAUAUAUAUAUAUAUAUAUUUUCUUUUCUCAUCAUCUUCUGCACAGACACAGAAUGAUCACAAGUCCAUGUUUAUUACUACUAUUGCACAUCAAUUACCAGGGGCAGCCUGCCUCUAUCACCCCCUCUUCUGGGGGUGAGCAAACGAACCUCACUCCAUAGCAGGAGCUUCAUGGAACAUGCAGCUGGGGCAAGACAGAGCGAAAGUACGAAGUCAUAUUAUUCAUUAUGUUGCUAUUAAACGAUAUCAUCGCAGAUACCAUCACUAGAUACCAUUGCUAGAUAUUAUCGAGAGAUAUCAUCAGUGGAUAUCAAUCAUUCAGCCAGGUCAGUAGAUACAUAAGCAGAUAGAUAGGCAGAUAGUCAGCUAGUAAGCUGGCUUUGAUAAGUAGAUGAGUAGCUAGAUGGUGAUGUUAUUAUUGAGCAUGCAGAU